rnacentral:rRNA from 1 species
CAGGGGAUUGCCCUAGUAACGGCGAGUGAAGCGGCAACAGCUCAAAUUUGAAAUCUGGCCCCCAAUGCGGGGUCCGAGUUGUAGUUUGCAGAGGGAGCUUUGGCAUGUGGAAGCGUUCUAAGUCCCUUGGAACAGGGCAUCACAGAGGGUGAGAAUCCCGUACGUGAGCGCCUCCUUUGCCGUGUAAAGCCCCUUCGACGAGUCGAGUUGUUUGGGAAUGCAGCUCUAAAUGGGAGGUAAAUUUCUUCUAAAGCUAAAUACUGGCCAGAGACCGAUAGCGCACAAGUAGAGUGAUCGAAAGAUGAAAAGCACUUUGGAAAGAGAGUCAAAUAGCACGUGAAAUUGUUGAAAGGGAAGCGCUUGCAGCCAGACGUGCCCGCAGUUGCUCACCCGGGCUCUCGCCCGGGGCACUCUUCUGCGGGCAGGCCAGCAUCAGUUUGGGCAGCCGGAUACAGGCCUCUGUCACGUAUCUUCCUCCGGGAUGACCUUAUAGGGGAGUCGUAACACGGUUAGCCCGGACUGAGGUCCGCGCAUCUGCUAGGAUGCUGGCGUAAUGGCUGUAAGCGGCCCGUCUUGAAACACGGACCAAGGAGUCUAACAUCUAUGCGAGUGUUUGGGUGUCAAGCCCGGGCGCGCAAUGAAAGUGAACGGAGGUGGGAACCCUCUCGGGGGCGCACCAUCGACCGAUCCUGAUGUCUUCGGAUGGAUUUGAGUAAGAGCAUAGCUGUUGGGACCCGAAAGAUGGUGAACUAUGCUUGAAUAGGGUGAAGCCAGAGGAAACUCUGGUGGAGGCUCGCAGCGGUUCUGACGUGCAAAUCGAUCGUCAAAUUUGGGCAUAGGGGCGAAAGA